GGCGGGUUAGCAAAGCGGUUAUGCAGCGGAUUGCAAAUCCGUUUAGCUCGGUUCGACUCCGGGACCCGCCU
rnacentral:tRNA from 1 species